rnacentral:tRNA from 1 species
CAAAUAUUAGUGUAAGUCUAAUCCGUCUUUAAUAUAUGAAGAAGAUAAUACUACGAAUACUUGUGCUUGG